UUUCAGUGAAAACGUGGAGAUGAAAACUGCUUAGUGAAGAACAUACAAUUGACGGUUACGUUUCGAAAAUGCCAGUACAGAAAGAAGACGUAUGAACCUCUCAUAAAAAGUGUUGAAUUAUUCAGUUACAUUGGUGGAUAUGUUGGAAUGUGGUUAGGCAUUCAUCUGAUUGCCCUUUUCGACCUGGCAGAGGGUAUUAGUCACCUACUUUAUUUUCCGUUUAGAGAAAAGCAGAAUUAACGAAAAAUGCGUUACAAAAUGAUUGUUUAUUAUUAUUAUUUCUUAUGAUAAUUUAUAAUUUAGUUGGUAAUAGCUAUGCUUUGUUUCUUUAUAUAAUGCUAUCAAAAAUAAUAAUUAAAAUUAUGUUUUAAAUUAUUA